rnacentral:rRNA from 1 species
GACGAACGCUGGCGGCGUGCUUAACACAUGCAAGUCGAACGGAAAGGCCCUGCUUGCGGGGUACUCGAGUGGCGAACGGGUGAGUAACACGUGGGUGAUCUGCCCUCCACUUCGGGUUAAGCCUGGUAAACUGGGUCUAAUACCUGAUAGGACCUUUCAUGUAGUGUGGGGGGUGGUAAGGUUUAUCGGUGUUGGUUGAACCCGAGGCCUAUCACCUUGUGGGUCGGGUAAUGGGUUACCAAGGCGCAGACGGGUAGCCGGCCCGCGAGGGUGGACGCGGACCAUGGGCCUGAGGUACGGCCCAGACUGCUACGGGCGGCAGCAGUGGGGAGUAUUGCACAAUGGGCGCAAGCGUGAUGCAGAGACGCCGCGUGGGGGAUGACGGCUUUCGGGUUGUAAACAUCUUUCGACAGGGACGAAGCUUCGGUGACGGUACCUGGAGAAGAAGCCCCGGCUAACUACGUG